rnacentral:rRNA from 1 species
ACUACGGGAGGCAGCAGUGGGGGAUAUUGCACAAUGGGGGGAACCCUGAUGCAGCGACGCCGCGUGGGUGAAGAAGCGCCUCGGCGCGUAAAGCCCUGUCAGCAGGGAAGAAAAUGACGGUACCUGAAGAAGAAGCCCCGGCUAACUACGUGCCAGCAGCCGCGGUAAUACGUAGGGGGCAAGCGUUAUCCGGAUUUACUGGGUGUAAAGGGGGCGCAGAAGGGGAUGCAAGCCAGGAGUGAAAGCCCGGGGCCCAACCCCGGGACUGCUCUUGGAACUGCGUGGCUGGAGUGCAGGAGGGGCAGGCGGAAGUCCUGGUGUAGCGGUGAAAUGCGUAGAUAUCAGGAGGAACACCGGUGGCGAAGGCGGCCUGCUGGACUGCAACUGACGUUGAGGCCCGAAAGCGUGGGGAGCAAACAGGAUUAGAGACCCGGGUAGUC